GACGAACGCUGGCGGCGUGCCUAAUACAUGCAAGUCGAGCGGACUUUCAAGAAGCUUGCUUUUUGAAAGUUAGCGGCGGACGGGUGAGUAACACGUGGGCAACCUGCCUGCAAGACGGGGAUAACUCCGGGAAACCGGGGCUAAUACCGGAUAAUAUCUUCCUUCGCAUGAAGGAAGGUUGAAAGGCGGCGCAAGCUGCCGCUUGCAGAUGGGCCCGCGGCGCAUUAGCUAGUUGGUGAGGUAACGGCUCACCAAGGCGACGAUGCGUAGCCGACCUGAGAGGGUGAUCGGCCACACUGGGACUGAGACACGGCCCAGACUCCUACGGGAGGCAGCAGUAGGGAAUCUGCCGCAAUGGACGAAAGUCUGACGGAGCAACGCCGCGUGAGCGAAGAAGGUCUUCGGAUCGUAAAGCUCUGUUGUCAGGGAAGAACAAGUACCGUUCGAACAGGGCGGUACCUUGACGGUACCUGACCAGAAAGCCACGGCUAACUACGUG
rnacentral:rRNA from 1 species